UGCCAUGGCACAGGGCUGGUGAGCAGAGCUCCCAGGGGCAGGGGGCAGGUGAGCAGAGCUGCCAUGGCACAGGGCAGGUGAGCAGAGCUCCCAGGGGCAGGGGGCAGGUGAGCAGGGCUCCCAGGGGCACAGGGCAGGUGAGCAGAGCUGCCAUGGCACAGGGCAGGUGAGCAGAGCUCCCAGGGGCAGGGGGCAGGUGAGCAGGGCUCCCAGGGGCACAGGGCAGGUGAGCAGAGCUGCCAUGGCACAGGGCAGGUGAGCAGAGCUCCCAGGGGCACGGGGCAGGUGAGCAGGGCUCCCAGGGGCACAGGGCAGGUGAGCAGAGCUGCCAUGGCACAGGGCAGGUGAGCAGAGCUCCCAGGGGCACAUGGCAGGUGAGCAGAGCUCCCAGGGGCACAGGGCAGGUGAGCAGAGCUCCCAGGGGCAGGGGGCAGGUGAGCAGAGCUCCCAGGGGCAGGGGGCAGGUGAGCAGAGCUCCCAGGGGCACAGGGCAGGUGAGCAGAGCUCCCAGGGGCAGGGGGCAGGUGAGCAGAGCUCCCAAGGGCAGGGGGCAGGUGAGCAGAGCUCCCAGGGGCACAGGGCAGGUGAGCAGAGCUCCCAGGGGCAGGCGGCAGGUGAGCAGAGCUCCCAGGGGCAGGGGGCAGGUGAGCAGGGCUCCCAGGGGCACAAGGCAGGUGAGCAGAGCUCCCAGGGGCAGGGGGCAGGUGAGCAGAGCUCCCAGGGGCACAGGGCAGGUGAGCAGAGCUCCCAGGGGCAGGGGGCAGGUGAGCAGAGCUCCCAGGGGCACAGGGCAGGUGAGCAGAGCUCCCAGGGGCACAGGGCAGGUGAGCAGAGCUCCCAGGGGCA